rnacentral:lncRNA from 1 species
CGUUACAUAAUUUGAAAAAAAUCCAGCUGACAUCACCAACAAAGAUUGGGCAUCUCAAAAGUGAGGAAAGUACAACAUCUCAACCAUAGAAAAAAUAAACAGCAGUUGAUGAACAUUCAUAGCAAAUCACAGCAGAUCAUAGAUUGUCAUCAAUCUAAAGUAAAUAACUCACUCUGAAAGAGCAAAAUUCCACUGGUAUAUAGGAAACUAAGAUUGUAUUCAAGAAUGUAGAAGGGAAAGAAAAGACAGGGCAGACACAAGAACUAAGGUGCACAAGCAAUCCCAAGGAUGAAACAUAAAAUACCUUUCCAAGACAAAGGCAUAAGGCUACUCUUUGCAACUCUCCUCCAGAAAGAUUCUUAACGUCUUUGUCCAUCAACUGUUCAAUAAGUAGUGGCUUCAUCACUUCUGAUAUAAACAGGGGAUGAGUAUAUACAUUACGGAUUUUUUGAUGUAGCAAGUGUCUAACAGCUAAUCGGGAUUUUGGGCUAAUUUUCUGAGGUUUGUAUGAUACGUUGAACUUGGGCAUCUCCACAUCAGAUCCACCUUCUAUAGUAUCGGGUUUCAACAAACCAGCCUGAAUAAAAGAAGAGGGUGAAUAAAUAUAUGAAGAAUUAUGCAGUUUGAUAAAGAAAUAAUAAGACUAAAAGAAUACCAGCAUACGAAUGAAUGUUGUCUUUCCUGUCCCAUUCUCACCCAGCAUCACAAUAAUCUGUGAAUCUGUAAAUUCUCCUUCAACUGCAUGAAGCCUGAAAUUGCCUUGAGUUUUAGUCAUGGUUGGGUAUUUGAAUCGAGCAUAAGUUUGAGCUUCCUCGGCAGUUUUCUGUGGAGUCUCUGCAACCUGGAUAAAAGAUUAGAGCAAGGUUAAUUCGAUAAAGUUUAUUUGUUAUUUCUACCCUUAGUUUUUGGUGGGUUAGCAACCUGUAGGAUUUCUCUGACCCUUUCACGGUUCCCCUGUGUUCUUCUAUUCAUAAACGACUUCUUUUACUUCAAAACAUAUUCAAAUCAUCAAUAAUUAUAUUUUCAAGUUCUACUUCUACAUCCAUCGUUGAUGUUCCAAACGAAGCAGGAUAAUACAUAAUCAAGAUUCCCACAAUUCCCUCAAAUCGUUCCACAGCUUCCUUUUUACUUUCAUUUUUUAAUAAUGAGAAACAAGCUGCGAGAAGAGGGUUAUAGAGCUUUGAUGGGUUAAAGGGUUCUUUGAGGGAGAAAUCAAGGAACUUGGCAGAUUUCGUUGCUCCUCAAGGUUGUGUCAUACUACCAUAGAAGAUGCUCAUGAGAUCUGAAACUUUCUAGAAACAUACAAUUCAUGAACUCACCCAACAAAUUGUUUAACAAAUGAUUAGAAAUCCAUAAAAAGGGUUGAUUUAACAAGUAUUCAGACAUAGUGAAAGAUGCAAUCAAUGGUCAUGUUCCAUGGAAGCAGUCAUGUAGAUGACGUGAACGAAGAAGUAAAGCACAACCUCAUUACUCCAAAAAAAAAUUACUUUUUUUUUAAUUUUCAAGUAUAUAUAGCAUUUUUUAAUAUAUAUUUAGUUCAAUGAUAUAUACCUUAUCAUGCGGGUAUCAAGUGUCGGACAAACAAAUGAUAUGAUAAAAUAAUGUUAUCGUAUUUAUUAUCAUGUUUUCACCAAACAAAGGAUAGAGUAAUGUUUAUCUUGUAACUAUCCUAUCUUUUUUUUUUUUGGUCAAGUACCCUAGUGGCUAGAAUUCAAUUAAUAUUUUGUUUGAAGUAAAAUGUAUUACAUUAAAGAGAUAUAAAUAGAUCAAUCACAACAAAUCCAAGUUUAAAAAAAAAAAAUCAACACAGGUUGAGCUUUUAACUUAUUUCCGUUACAUAAUUUGAAAAAAAUCCAGCUGACAUCACCAACAAAGAUUGGGCAUCUCAAAAGUGAGGAAAGUACAACAUCUCAACCAUAGAAAAAAUAAACAGCAGUUGAUGAACAUUCAUAGCAAAUCACAGCAGAUCAUAGAUUGUCAUCAAUCUAAAGUAAAUAACUCACUCUGAAAGAGCAAAAUUCCACUGGUAUAUAGGAAACUAAGAUUGUAUUCAAGAAUGUAGAAGGGAAAGAAAAGACAGGGCAGACACAAGAACUAAGGUGCACAAGCAAUCCCAAGGAUGAAACAUAAAAUACCUUUCCAAGACAAAGGCAUAAGGCUACUCUUUGCAACUCUCCUCCAGAAAGAUUCUUAACGUCUUUGUCCAUCAACUGUUCAAUAAGUAGUGGCUUCAUCACUUCUGAUAUAAACAGGGGAUGAGUAUAUACAUUACGGAUUUUUUGAUGUAGCAAGUGUCUAACAGCUAAUCGGGAUUUUGGGCUAAUUUUCUGAGGUUUGUAUGAUACGUUGAACUUGGGCAUCUCCACAUCAGAUCCACCUUCUAUAGUAUCGGGUUUCAACAAACCAGCC